AAAGAUCAGGUCUAACUUUGUAACCCUCUGGGAAAUUAAGUCAUUUCAGUAAGAAGCUACCUGGGCUGGACCCUUUCCCACCAAAGUAUAAACCUGUGGACUCUUUACCUUUGACUGCAGGUGUGAUCACGGAGAGUCCUUUGGGAAUCUCUGAACUACCGACAAGAAUGGGGGACCAUCCUGGCAGGUACAAGAUCGUCACCCCUUCCCUUCUGAAUGGAGAGCCAUGGAAGCCAGUCAGUAGCAUCCCAUCUAAGGAUCACCCGGGGAGGCUGAGUUUCCGAGUAGAAGUGGACAGUGAGGAGCUGAUCAUACACCUGGAAAGAAAUGAGUAAGUGACCGGGCGCCCACCAAUUUCAAAUGGCCAGAGCAAAGGGGAGGGCACAGUGGUGACUCGGGGAGACUUCUCCAGCCUCAAAAUGUUUCCUUCUCCAAGGUGGAGCCUCAAUUCAGCUCUUUUGGGCUCAUAAGAGUUUGAUCAGGGGAAUGAAAAAGGUGGUCCUGGCUGAAAAGACUGAUUUUACUUGAUUUUACUUUUUUCAUUUAUUAAAUUGGAAAAUUCCCAGAGUUGGUUGCCUUUUGUGGAUUUCUGAAUUAUCUAAGGAGAAUGGCAUGCAGAUGGAGAGGAAGUCUAUCCUCCAUGAGAAAUAUCAGCUCAUUUGAAGUAGUAUUUUAAUUUGGGGACGGUAAUCUGUUACAAAAAUCUACAUUUUAUUGAUAAUAAAGGCUAGCAUUCAAUAGGACUCUACAGGUCACAAAUACAAAUAUUAGCUCAUUCGAUUCUCACAAUAACCAUGGGAAGAAAUAACUAUUGUUUUCCCAUCUUACCCUGAGGCAGACAAGUUAAGCGACUUGUCCAAGGUCACAAAUCUAGUUAAAUCGUAAAUUAGGAUUGGAACUCAGGUCUUUACAAAAUGGUACCCCACUUUCAUUGGGAUUCAGGGGAAGAGAGGAAAUGCCAUCAGAAAAGAAUUGUGGGUGAGAACAGUGAUUGCCAGACAUUCUUAAAAGGAGAGUCACAUUUGUGAAUCCGUACCCUCAAGAUAUGUAUAUUAAUAAAUUAUAUACCUUUAUUACCAAGAUAAUCAUUUUAUAUUUUAUAAGGCAUGUAUAAAUAUUGAAGCUAAAAAAAACCUGAAAGAUAAAAUAUUUUAAAAAUGAAAUCUUUUCUCUCCCUCAAACUUUAUUAAUGACAACAUUUUAAUGAUGGAUAAUGUUUAAUUUUACCCUGUACAGAUCCCUAUUUCUCUGAGACUCACGGGAUAGAACCUUAGACCCAGAGUCAGGAAGGUUCCAUUCAAAUCCAACCUCAGACCAGCUGAGUGACCCUGAGCAAAUCAUUUAACCUGUCUUCCUCAGUUUCUCCAAUUGUAAUAUGGGAGUGACGAUGGCACUUUCCUCUCAAUAUUAUAAGAAUCGGAUAAGUCAAUAUUUAUGCCUGGC
rnacentral:lncRNA from 1 species